rnacentral:rRNA from 1 species
AGUGAACGCUGGCGGUAGGCCUAACACAUGCAAGUCGAACGGCAGCACAGUAAGAGCUUGCUCUUACGGGUGGCGAGUGGCGGACGGGUGAGGAAUACAUCGGAAUCUACUUUUUCGUGGGGGAUAACGUAGGGAAACUUACGCUAAUACCGCAUACGACCUACGGGUGAAAGCAGGGGAUCUUCGGACCUUGCGCGAUUGAAUGAGCCGAUGUCGGAUUAGCUAGUUGGCGGGGUAAAGGCCCACCAAGGCGACGAUCCGUAGCUGGUCUGAGAGGAUGAUCAGCCACACUGGAACUGAGACACGGCCCAGACUCCUACGGGAGGCAGCAGUGGGGAAUAUUGGACAAUGGGCGCAAGCCUGAUCCAGCCAUACCGCGUGGGUGAAGAAGGCCUUCGGGUUGUAAAGCCCUUUUGUUGGGAAAGAAAAGCAGCAGGUUAAUACCCCGCUGUCCUGACGGUACCCAAAGAAUAAGCACCGGCUAACUUCGUG